rnacentral:rRNA from 1 species
GACGAACGCUGGCGGCGUGCCUAAUACAUGCAAGUUGAGCGCUGAAGGUUGGUACUUGUACCAACUGGAUGAGCAGCGAACGGGUGAGUAACGCGUGGGGAAUCUGCCUUUGAGCGGGGGACAACAUUUGGAAACGAAUGCUAAUACCGCAUAAAAACUUUAAACACAAGUUUUAAGUUUGAAAGACGCAAUUGCAUCACUCAAAGAUGAUCCCGCGUUGUAUUAGCUAGUUGGUGAGGUAAAGGCUCACCAAGGCGAUGAUACAUAGCCGACCUGAGAGGGUGAUCGGCCACAUUGGGACUGAGACACGGCCCAAACUCCUACGGGAGGCAGCAGUAGGGAAUCUUCGGCAAUGGACGAAAGUCUGACCGAGCAACGCCGCGUGAGCGAAGAAGGUUUUCGGAUCGUAAAACUCUGUUGGUAGAGAAGAACGUUGGUGAGAGUGGAAAGCUCAUCAAGUGACGGUAACUACCCAGAAAGGGACGGCUAACUACGUG